AAGGUAACCCUCUUCCUUCAACUUCAGCAACUUAAUUUAGUGGUUCAGCACAUUUGACAAACCUUCUGUAACUAGUUUGCUUUGUUGGAGACAAGGGCAUAGUGGUGUGAUGGUGGAUAAGAAGCUUUGCUAUAAUUGUGGAGAAGGUAAACAACCUUAUGUUUGCUUUAUGGAUUAUGUCUUUGCUGAAUCAAAAU